CCUACGGGAGGCAGCAGUGAGGAAUAUUGGUCAAUGGACGAGAGUCUGAACCAGCCAAGUAGCGUGAAGGAUGACUGCCCUCUGGGUUGUAAACUUCUUUUAUAAAGGAAUAAAACGAGGCACGUGUGCCUUUUUGCAUGUACUUUAUGAAUAAGGAUCGGCUAACUCCGUGCCAGCAGCCGCGGUAAUACGGAGGAUCCGAGCGUUAGCCGGAUUUAUUGGGUUUAAAGGGAGCGUAGAUGGGUUGUUAAGUCAGUUGUGAAAGUUUGCGGCUCAACCGGAAAAUUGCAAUUGAUACUGGAAGUCUUGAGUACAGUUGAGGUAGGCGGAAUUCGUGGUGUAGCGGUGAAAUGCUUAGAUAUCACGAAGAACCCCGAUUGCGAAGGCAGCUUACUAAACUGUGACUGACAUUGAUGCUCGAAAGUGUGGGUAUCAAACAGGAUUAGAUACCCGAGUAGUC
rnacentral:rRNA from 1 species